CCAGGAAUUGCCAGAAAUUCACCAAAUAAUCUCACAGUUCAGUCUAGACCGCAAAAUUGGAAAAUUGUUCUUAGCCCAAUGAUCUUUUCGGACCGAUUAUUUUAUUCUAAAAUUUACAAUUCCCUGAUAAAUUCCUGCCAAUUCACAGUAUCGUGAAUAACCAUGUGUAGCUUAACCCCUUAAGGACCAAACUUCUGGAAUAAAAGGGAAUCAUGAC